rnacentral:lncRNA from 1 species
UUUUCGAGGUCGACCGCGUGGCUGGAAGACAUGGCCACUCCCGUCGGUGUUGAGCACGGCGAGCAGUCUCAGGCCUUUAGUGAUGAUGGUGCAGUCAGCCUCAGUUUCCAAAGCCAGAAAAGGAUCCUCUAGAAGCCACGGUGUGGCAGCUGCUCUGAACCAGGACCUGGACCCGGACCCAAAGUGCCAUGUCUUCAAUGUUAGCUCCCAGCGAUGCCAGAUGGGAUCAGCACAGCCCUGCCUCUGCUGCUAAUUGUUCCUCUAAAGUAAUCGCCAUGCGUUCUUCGGGCUUCACCUUUAAAGGAAUGAAGCAACUGAGAUUAUUCUGGAAAACCUUUUGGCGAUUGGUGAAAUUAGAGUACAACUAAGAACAUUUUCAGACCUCCACUGUGGAUGACCUGGGUAUAAUCUCACAAAUCGAUGGGACUGCAAGGAUUGUAAACUGAAAUGAACAUGAUUAUACUCUGUUGGAAGAGCCUAAGAGGAAACUGAUGCCAUGAGUUUCAGAGAGUAAUGCUUAACCCCAGUUACACAGGAUGCCGUCUUGUGUUUCCUCUUGUUUAGUUACCCACUACAGUGAUUUUGUGAUCUGCUAAUGGGUUGCCACCCACAACCAUUGCUUUAGCACUUUUCCUUCAAAUCAAUGAAGGAUUGAUAAAAGUUCUCCUGGUGUCUCCGCAGAGUGGCUUCCAGGAACAGAUCUUUGCAUAGAAUAUCAGUGGUUUCCUUUUUUGUUUCAAAUAGUGGUCAGAAAAUACCCAGUGUUGACUCACCAAGGCAAUCAGCUUCCUUUUUCCCUUUUUUUUUUUUUUUUUUUAAAUUUUAUAUUUUUGCUUUAUUUUAUUUUAUUUUGUUUAUUUUUUGAGACGGAGUUCCACUCUGUCGCCAGGCUGGAGUGAAGUGGUACAAUCUUGGCUCACUGCAACCUCCACCUCCCGGGUUCAAGCAAUUCUCCUGGCUCAGCCUCCUGAGUGCUGGGACUACAGGCACGUACCUUCUUUAGUAGAGACUGGGUUUCACCAUGUUGGCCAGGAUGGUCUCUAUCUCCUGACCUUGUGAUCUGCCUGCCUCAGCUUCCCAAAGUGCUGAGAUUACAGGCGUGAGCCAUCAGACCCAGCAUUUUUUUUUAAUUUUAAUUUUAAUUUUUUCAUUUUUUUGAGAGGUUUUUUGUUUUGUUUUGUUUUUGUUGUUGUUUUUGAGACAGUCUUGCUCUGUCACCCAGGCUGGGAGUGCAGUGGCAUGAUCUCUGCAACCUCUACCUCCCAGGUUCAAGCAAUUCUUGUGCCGCAGCCUCCCAAGUAACUGGGACUACAGGUGCACACUACCACACCUGGCUGAUUUUUUAUGUUUUAGUAGAGACAGGGUUUCAACCAUGUUGCCCAGGUUGGUCUCAAACUCCCGAGCUCAGGCAAUCCACCCGCCUUGGCCUCCCAAAGUGCUAGGAUUACAGGUGUGAGCCACCACACCCAUCUAUUUUUUCUUUCGUUUUUUAAUUUUAAAGUUGGGGGGGGUUUCAAUUUGUUACCCUGGCUGGUCUCGAACUCCUGGACUUAAGCGAUCCUCUGGCUCCAAGCCCACUACUAGUCUCAGGUUUCUUUACUAAAAGAUCACUACCUUUUUUUCUCUUAUCUGCUGCCAUGUGAGAUGUGGCUUUCACCUUCCGCCAUGAUUGUGAGGCCUUCCCAGCCACGUGGAACUGUAAGUCCAAUAAACCUCUUUUGUAAAAAAAAAAAAAAAAAAUCACUAUUUAAGAUACUAGGAUGGAUUGUGACUGUUGAGGAGUACUUACAUAUCCUACAUUUGACUACAUUCUUUCCAAACCAAGUAUUCUAUCCAAAGGAACAUACUGCUAUCAUAGAGACCAAGGAGGGACUGUUUAAGGUUGCCAAGGUGAAGCGAGCUGAGAGGCUUUGUCCUCGUGCCAGUAACUCUGAAAUCUCUCUUAAUUCCUGCUGUCCAGGCAGCAGAAUGCCAUGGUUUCCCCAAGUAGGUAGCUGCUUUAGCAAUUAAAGCCCAAAUGUCUGUUCUGUUGAUCAGAGGUCUCUGAAUUUCUGAAGUGGUGUUUCGUUUCUGGUGACUGAGUUAAUCCUUUACAAUCCCUCUUGUAAAGUGUGCUAAUAGAAAGAAUCCACCUUUCAAAGCUGCAGAACCAGACCGUUUCCUAAAUUGACCAACGUAACUGAUGUGCCUCGGGAAGUCUCUUGGCAGCUGUCCCUGUGAAGACCCCCCUCCUGCCCCCCCAGCUGCUGCCUUGCACACUGAAGCAUCUCAGACUGUGCAAAGCCAUGUAGUCAUCAAGACAGUAAAUCCCAGGGCUUGGUUAAGUGCUGUGUGAUAACUUGUUUGGAUGAGACUUAACUUAAAACCACUUACAAUAAACUUGGGAAACUAC